UACGGGGGGGGCAAGCGUUGUUCGGAAUUACUGGGCGUAAAGGGCGUGUAGGCGGCCAACUAAGUCCGACGUGAAAUCCCCAGGCUUAACCUGGGAACUGCGUCGGAUACUGGAUGGCUUGAAUUCGGGAGAGGGAUGCAGAAUUCCAGGUGUAGCGGUGAAAUGCGUAGAUAUCUGGAGGAAUACCGGUGGCGAAGGCGGGUUGCUGGGCUGAUACUGACGCUGAUGCGCGAAAGCCAGGGGAGCGAACGGG
rnacentral:rRNA from 1 species